GAUGAACGCUGGCGGCGUGCCUAAUACAUGCAAGUCGAGCGAACAGACGAGGAGCUUGCUCCUCUGACGUUAGCGGCGGACGGGUGAGUAACACGUGGAUAACCUACCUAUAAGACUGGGAUAACUUCGGGAAACCGGAGCUAAUACCGGAUAAUAUAUUGAACCGCAUGGUUCAAUAGUGAAAGACGGUUUUGCUGUCACUUAUAGAUGGAUCCGCGCCGCAUUAGCUAGUUGGUAAGGUAACGGCUUACCAAGGCGACGAUGCGUAGCCGACCUGAGAGGGGGAUCGGCCACACUGGAACUGAGACACGGUCCAGACGCCUACGGGAGGCAGCAGUAGGGAAUCUUCCGCAAUGGGCGAAAGCCUGACGGAGCAACGCCGCGUGAGUGAUGAAGGUCUUCGGAUCGUAAAACUCUGUUAUUAGGGAAGAACAAAUGUGUAAGUAACUAUGCACGUCUGGACGGUACCUAAUCAGAAAGCCACGGCUAACUACGU
rnacentral:rRNA from 1 species